rnacentral:rRNA from 1 species
UGGGGAAUAUUGCACAAUGGACGGAAGUCUGAUGCAGCAACGCCGCGUGCGGGAUGACGGCCUUCGGGUUGUAAACCGCUUUUUCUCAUGACGAAGUUUUUUGACGGUAGUGGGGGAAGAAGCACCGGCUAACUACGUGCCAGCAGCCGCGGUGAUACGUAGGGUGCGAGCGUUGUCCGGAAUUAUUGGGCGUAAAGAGCCUGUAGGCGGUUUGUCGCGUCGAUAGUGCAAACUCAGUGCUUAACGCUGAGCCUGCUGUUGAUACGGGCAGACUAGAGGAAGGUAGGGGAGAAUGGAAUUCCCGGUGGAGCGGUGGAAUGCGCAGAUAUCGGGAGGAACACCGGUGGCGAAGGCGGUUCUCUGGGCCUUUCCUGACGCUGAGAAGCGAAAGCGUGGGGAGCGAACAGG